GAAAAACAAGAACUAGAACCAAAUGACUUGGCUAUCUCAAAAUCUUUGGAGUCAUCCAGUCGUAUGUUUGUCUACCAAAAAGAUCUAAGCGAUUCUUUGAUGGCAGAGAGAGAUGAAGGAGUGUCAGAGCCAACUCCAGCAUCUGGUAGCUCUACCCCCAUGGAAUUCUGGGCUCAGGGACUGACCAGCUCCAGCCCAGGCACAGCCACGGGCAACGUGUCUGGACCAGUGCCACGAUGUAACAUUCAUCCAUGAAGGAAAUAAAACAUUUCUGGAUAACCUUGUUAAUUUUGAAAAGCUGUUGAGCUAAUUUUGUCCUUCCUGUUUUUCAAAAGACUCACGUUCUAUUCUUCCCUGUCCCUUCCUUAUCUUGUAAGACUAAGAGGUUUUCUUCUGGAUGAAUCAGAAAGAAAAACGGCACAUGAUUGCAGAUACUGUUUGGGCAUUGAGACAUUGCAGAAAUAACCAAUUUGGCAUUGAAGUUCCUUCGAAAGAGCAUCAUGAGCUGAAGCCGUAUGUCCAUCACCUGCAUGUCAUCGACAACCAGCAAGCUCUGUUUGAGCUUUCUCACGGGAUAGAGCCACGAGCGUGAGCGUACACAGCUUCAUAUAACCUUGUAACUGCAGCACUUCGAAUUAAGUGAAUGUUUAAGCCAAGCGCGUUGCUUCCCUUUAUAAGAACAGUUUACCGAGUUUUAUCCGUAGCUUGCACAACGUGCGCAGGAAAAUCAGGCAAGAGCCAGCAAAGGAGCUGCUCACAGAGUUGCAGGGCAAGCUUGGUGCCAUUCCCACUGGUCACUGGGACGUGAGGGAGUGGAGCAGCGUCCUUUGAACUCAGGAGCUUGGUUUCUGUGAAAAUAUUGUUGGGUCCAGUGUAGCUUUCAAUGCAGAUUCUGCCAGUAUUAGGAUGAAAGGAAUCAUCGUGUCACAGCAGCAAAGCGUUUCAGCGAGCAACAUGCCGCCAGGGGAUUGAUUCCCAGUUCACCACAUAUGUACCUCACUAAUUCAAGGCUGCCGAAGUAUUGUUGCCAAAAAUAAUGUGCAGUCUCUGCAGUUCUUCUGAGUCCACUGGAGCAUUGUAUUUGAGAUAAGUGCAAACAACCAAGGAUGGGAAUAUAACAAGGUAGCACAACCGGAUGAAACUCAAGAGUGUGUCAGCAGUAAACAGUUCAUGCUGUUACGGUCCCUUUAAGAACCUGUUCAUCCACACUGUAAGAACCAAUCCACUUUUGUCGCAGUUCAUGGACACGAUUAUUUGUAUACUGAAAACAUGUUAUUUUCUUCCUUUUCAGUUAUCUCAGAUUUAGCACCGGGUCCUGCAGUUAACAUGUUACGAAUUAUUAGAGCAGAAGCUUUGUUUUCUGCUUGGAUUACAGCCUCCUCGGUGUCUAUUCAGAGGCAAUGCCUAGACCCACCUAUAUUCCUAACUCAUCUCUGGGAGAUACCCUUCCAGCAGGUAAAACUUCACCUAACCUGCACAUGCUUCUAGUUUUUAAAGAACAAAAAUGUGCACCUUACAGGGUACCACUGUAAUUACCUGCAUACACACCGAGCUCUCAGCAUCAGGGUCCCUUUACUGCUUUUGUUCCUCUCACACCCUUCCCCUAUGCAAUUCUCAUGUAGCUACAAGUACUACAUCUGGGCAUGUCCUGAGGCAGCAUUUCUCAAGUGUUGUCUACAGCUGAUCUACCUCUCGAGCACCACCAUAACCAUAGCUCUGGUUUUCAGUGCUAAGAAGUUGCCCUGAAAUAAUCCAGUGAAUGCUGCAGGCAAUGUGCAGAGUGCUCCAGGGUCUGGCACAUGUUUGGCACUGACUCACGGCAACAGUCCUUUUGCAGAGCAGGGGGGGUACAUAGCAUCGCUCACCCAUCUCUAUUGUAUGUUUUCCACAUGAGGAAGACUUCCAAGAAAAUGCUCAUUUACUAAAAUGUGGGAAUACUGAAGCAGCAUGCUCUUCAUCAUUGUGUUAUCUCUGGUUUAAAGGGAUUUAAAAGAAGCAGCUUUAACAAGUAGUCUGGGGGGGAAUCUGUAGAAUGCAUUCAGUUUUCCCCUCUGUGAAAUAUUGUAUAGAUCUAUUGUAAAGGAAACAGAUGUUUCAGAAAUGUAUUUGCUUGUACUUUGUUAUUAUCAAAUGCUAUAUGGUUGUUUUUGUUUUCGUUUUGUUUUUUUUUAAGAAAAAAAAUCUUCUUUAUACCCAGUAAAAA